rnacentral:rRNA from 1 species
CAGCAGCCACGGGAAUACGUAGGGUGCGAGCGUUAAUCGGAAUUACUGGGCGUAAAGCGUGCGCAGGCGGCUUUGCAAGACAGAUGUGAAAUCCCCGGGCUCAACCUGGGAACUGCAUUUGUGACUGCAAGGCUAGAGUGCGGCAGAGGGAGAUGGAAUUCCGCGUGUAGCAGUGAAAUGCGUAGGGAUGUGGAGGAAUACCGAUGGCGAAGGCAGCCCCCUGGGUCAAUACUGACGCUCAUGCACGAAAGCGUGGGGAGCAAACAGGAUUAGAUACCCCCGUAGUCCCUGUCUCUUAUAC